rnacentral:tRNA from 1 species
GGUGGCUCAGAGGUAGAGCACUUGCCUUGCAUGCAUGAGGCCCUGGGUUCGAUUCCUCAGUACCA